rnacentral:rRNA from 1 species
UACGUAGGGUGCAAGCGUUGCCCGGAUUUAUUGGGCGUAAAGGGCGCGUAGGCGGCUCGGCACGUCCGUUGUGAAAUCUCCGGGCUUAACUCGGAAAGGUCAACUGAUACUGUGCGACUAGAGUGCGGAAGGGGCAACUGGAAUUCUCGGUGUAGCGGUGAAAUGCGUAGAUAUCGAGAGGAACACCUGCGGCGAAGGCGGGUUGCUGGGCCGACACUGACGCUGAUGCGCGAAAGCCAGGGGAGCGAACGGG